GCCAUCUCCUUUGGAUAGCUUAGGCUGUAGAACAUGAGACUUUUAAUCCCAGGGUUGUGGAUUCAAGCCCCACAUUGGGCA